rnacentral:ncRNA from 2 species
AAUAUACAUUACGGGUGCCUGCGAAGCAGGCUGAGAGGAAAGAUAGAGAUCUUUCUAACCGUCUAACCUGAUCUGGGUAAUUCUAGCGUAGGGAUUAUAUUGGUGAAUUGUA